rnacentral:tmRNA from 1 species
GCUCUUUUCACAGGCGGCUAAUGUCCUUAUAUUCACGNNNGCCGGGCANNCGNCCGGCUAUGGCGAUAAACGUUCGUUGGAAUAAGCCUUUCGGACCCGGGGGCGGUACCCGGCGCCUCCACCNCAUGNCACGNUCGCGGCGAAGCNNNCCUGGCAUGNGGCGGGGGCGAAAUAGGAUCGACGAGGGUGUAAAGAGCGGAUUUUUGCUCGGCAUGGUUCCGCCGUUAUCGGGCCGAAAAAGUAGUUGCCAACGACAACUAUGCGGAAGCACGUCUCGCAGCGUAAGCUGUGCGAUAGCUUCAAUUCAAGUCCUGGGGGUUCGCACUUCUAGGCGGGGCUCGGAGGCGCCUGGCAACAGAAGCCUCCACU